GGGGAACAAGGGAAAGUCAGACUGAUGAGAUGUGAAAAGAUGGAAGGAAGUCAUGAACUAAAGAAUGCAGGCAGAAAAGACAUUCUCUUCCGUAGCCUCAGAAAGGAACACAGCCCUGCCAAUACUUCAAUUUUAAGUCAAUGAGACUCAUUUUGGAUCUCUGACCUCCGGAACUGUGUGUUGGGAUGGACAAAAAGCCGAAAGUUACAGUAUUCAGUCAUAUCAAGAUUAGUAUUUUUAGUUCAGUAAUGCCUUGUAUAACACUGAGCUGAUGUCCAUCAUAUGAUCAGUAGAGAACAGAAAAUCAUGAAGAUCUUGACCUUAAACAUAUGGUCUUUGUGAAGAAAAGACAAAGCCCAGAAUAGCAACCGAUUUAGACAGACUGCCUUGAGAUGCUCAAGAAAUGGGAAAGCCCACAGGAAGAUGAGUAAACCCAUGUUGUCUAGGGUGGCAGAUAAAAUGCCCAGAGUGGUGAAAAUGAUAACAGAGUUAAGAAAAUCAGCUGUAUUUGAAGAAAUUCCCAAGAAGAGAAGGAUACAGCAGACAAGAAUGUUCUUGUAGAAAUAAUCUGCUAGAGGAGCACACCUUUCAUCUUCUAUGGUUACAACAGCAAAAGAAGAAGGAGUUGGAGAAGGAGAAACCCAACCUGGUGAAUCAGAUAAAAGAGAGACUUUUCUGAUAAGGUUGACAUGAAAGAAAGCUGUCACUUAAUAUCAACAUCCAAGGUAUAUUUUUAAGUCCUUUAGGAAUAUGGUAUUGAGCUCUUCUUUGCUCCCUUGUUGGAAGAAGUAAACUCUAGCAAUGCUUCUGAGCUUCCUUCAGACUUGACUCUGACACCUUUUAACAUGUGCUAUUGGGUUAAUUUAUUACCUUUGGACCUCGGUUUACUCAUCUAAAGAUGAAGGAGGAUGAUUUUCAAUUUGUUGCUGUUGCAUUCUUAGAUUUGUUAUAAUAAAACCCGUAAAAUGGGAUACUGAUAGAAUUCAGCUGCUGGGGUGUCUUUAAAGAAUAAACACGAUGACAAGUGUAAAGAUCUU
rnacentral:lncRNA from 1 species